rnacentral:rRNA from 1 species
UACGGAGGGAGCUAGCGUUGUUCGGAAUUACUGGGCGUAAAGCGCACGUAGGCGGCUACUCAAGUCAGAGGUGAAAGCCCGGGGCUCAACCCCGGAACUGCCUUUGAAACUAGGUAGCUAGAAUCUUGGAGAGGCGAGUGGAAUUCCGAGUGUAGAGGUGAAGUUCGUAGAUAUUCGGAAGAACACCAGUGGCGAAGGCGGCUCGCUGGACAAGUAUUGACGCUGAGGUGCGAAAGCGUGGGGAGCAAACAGG